AUGUGUGCCCAAGCAUUGAGGCAGUCAAAGUAGGCAAAUCCGCUUUGAUAAUGCUGGGAUGUGAUGGGGAGCGAAAUUUAGUAGCGAAGUAGCUGAUUUCACCCUGUCAAGAAAAGUCUCUAUCGAGGUUAAAGGUACCCGUACCGCAAACCGACACAGGUGGGUGAGGAGAGUAUCCUAAGGCCAGCGAGAGAACUGUUGUUAA
rnacentral:rRNA from 1 species